rnacentral:rRNA from 1 species
UACGGAGGGUGCGAGCGUUGUCCGGAAUCACUGGGCGUAAAGGGCGCGUAGGCGGCCCUGGCAGUCGGGUGUGAAAGCCCUCGGCUCAACCGAGGAAGUGCAUUCGAAACCGCUGAACUUGAGUAUGGAAGAGGGUCGCGGAAUUCCUGGUGCAGCGGUGAAAUGCGCAGAUAUCAGGAGGAACACCGGUGGCGAAGGCGGGUCUCUGGGCCGAUAUUGACGCUGAGGAGCGAAAGCGUGGGGAGCAAACAGG